GCCUGUUCUAUACUGUGCUAAGAAACUGCUUGUGUAAAAACGAAUAAUUGGUUUGGACAGACUGACGAUAGUUGUAGAGUCCGGCGGAGAUUCACUUUUUUUUCGAGUGAUUCGGUCACCUUUUUUCGAAUGAAGAUCAAAUGAUAUAGUUACAAACCUGAUCUUGAACAGUAUCAAAAAGUUGUAGAAAGUUUACUGUGAUGUCACUUUUGUGGCGUUGACCCAGUCGUGUGAAAGACAGUUCGCGGUUCUUUUGUGCUGUUUUGUGUGCGGUCCUAUGUUGUUUUACGUGUUCGUUGUUAUUAAGUAUUUAGCAUGUCGAAAUGGACUAAUGUAUUGUUUAAUUGUGUUUUACUCUGUCCUUAAUGUUCUGAAUGCAUUUGUUUGUUCUGUAUUCCUGUCAUGUAAUGGUAACAUUUUAGUGUUAUUUAACAUUGCCAUAAAAAGUUUGGCUAGCCACAAAACUAGGUCAACCCACAAUAUUUUCAUUAAAUGUACCAAGUCAGGAAAAUGGCAGUUGUUAUCUUAUAGUUCGUUUAUGUGUGUGUUGCAUUGUCGUUGUUUUUAGUUUACUUCAGUGUUUCUGUUGUUUUGUUGUUUUCUUCUUAUAGGUGAUGUGUUUCCUGCAGUUUUAUUUGUAGCACUGAUAUGUUUUUUUCUCAAUCGAUUUAUGACUUUCGAACAGCGAUAUACUACUGUUGUCUUUAUUUAUCGAGCGGUAUUACAUCCGAUCAGAUCGAUUUACUGUUAAUUCGCGAUUUUAUUUUAGUUGUAUUAGUUUCUAUUCGUCUGAUUGGUAUACAUGUUUUGAACAAGAAAGACGCACGAGUUCCGUUAUUUACGUUGACAGGAAGUAAUCAAAUUUUAAGUCUUAGUCUUGUUAAAAAAAAA
rnacentral:lncRNA from 1 species